ensembl:rRNA 5S_rRNA 5S ribosomal RNA
GCCGGCAGCUAGCUCUCUGCAACUCUCACAUGGUCACCCACUGAAGCUAAGAAGGGCUGCGCCCGGUCAGUACCUGGAUAGGAGACCACAUGGGAAAGCUAGGUUGCUGCCGGAA